rnacentral:rRNA from 1 species
GGCGUGCCUCAGACAUGCAAGUCGAACGCGAAAGUCUCCUUCGGGGGAUAGGUAGAGUGGCGCACGGGUGAGUAACACGUAGGUAAUCUACCUUCGGGUGGGGAAUAACAACCGGAAACGGUUGCUAAUACCGCAUAAUGCAGCGGCACCUAAUGGUGACAGUUGUUAAAGCGGGGGAUCGAAAGAUCUCGCGCCUGAAGAGGAGCCUGCGGCGGAUUAGCUAGUUGGUAGGGUAAUGGCCUACCAAGGCGACGAUCCGUAGCCGGCCUGAGAGGGCGGUCGGCCACACUGACACUGACAUACGGGUCAGACUCCUACGGGAGGCAGCAGUCGGGAAUUUUGGGCAAUGGGCGAAAGCCUGACCCAGCAACGCCGCGUGAAGGAUGAAAUCCCUCGGGAUGUAAACUUCGCAAGAACGGGAAGAAUAAGUUUGUGCUAACACCACAAGCGAUGACGGUACUGUUUGUAAGCUCCGGCUAACUCCGUGCCAGCAGCCGCGGUAAUACGGGGGGAGCAAGCGUUGUUCGGAUUAACUGGGCGUAAAGGGCGCGUAGGCGGCCUCCGCAAGUCAGUUGUGAAAUCUCCGAGCUUAACUCGGAAAGGUCAACUGAUACUGCGGGGCUAGAGUGCGGAAGGGGCAACUGGAAUUCUUGGUGUAGCGGUGAAAUGCGUAGAUAUCAAGAGGAACACCUGCGGCGAAGGCGGGUUGCUGGGCCGACACUGACGCUGAGGCGCGAAAGCUAGGGGAGCGAACGGGAUUAGAUACCCCGGUAGUCCUAGCCUUAAACGAUGAAUGCUUGGUGUCUGGGGUUAUAUAGUCCCCGGGUGCCGUCGCUAACGCUUUAAGCAUUCCGCCUGGGGAGUACGGUCGCAAGACUGAAACUCAAAGGAAUUGACGGGUACCCGCACAAGCGGUGGAGCAUGUGGUUUAAUUCGACACUACGCGAAGAACCUUAUCCUGGGCUUGACAUGUGCGAAAGCGGUAGGAAGUAGCUUGCGGAAACGUGGAGCGAACGGUAUCCAGUCCGGAACCUACUACAGGUGCUGCAUGGCUGUCGUCAGCUCGUGUCGUGAGAUGUCGGGUUAAGUCCCAUAACGAGCGAAACCCCUGUCUCCAGUUGCCAGCGAGUAAUGUCGGGAACUCUGGAGAGACUGCCGGUGUUAAACCGGAGGAAGGUGGGGAUGACGUCAAGUCCUCAUGGCCUUUACGCCCAGGGCUGCACACGUGCUACAAUGGCGUAUACAAAGGGACGCAAGGGCGCGAGCCGGAGCAAAUCCCAAAAAAUACGCCCCAGUUCAGAUUGAAGGCUGCAACUCGCCUUCAUGAAGUUGGAAUCGCUAGUAAUCGCGGGUCAGCAACACCGCGGUGAAUGUGUUCCUGAGCCUUGUACACACCGCCCGUCAAGCCACGAAAGGGAGGGACGGCCGAAGUCGCCACACCAAGUUGGCGCCGACGCCGGACUUCCUGAUUGGGACUAAGUCGUAACAAGGUA